CGACGGACUGUAUUUGGCAGACUGAGGAUUGUAGCUUGGGGAUGUAGGACUAUAGGUUGGUGAAGUUGGGCUAUAACUUGGUGAAGUUGGACUAUAACCAGGAGAAGUGGGGCUAUAGGCUGGUGAAGUGGGGCUGUACGAUGGAGAAGUGGGGCUGUAUGACGGUGAGGUAGGGCUGUACGAAGGUGAUGUUGGGCUGUAGGAAGGAGAGGUUGGGCUGUACGAUGGUGAAGUGGGGCUGUAUGCAGGUGAGGUGGGGCUGUAUGCAGGUGAGGUGGGGCUAUAUGCCGGUGAGGUGGGGCUAUAGCUUGGUGAAGUUGGACUGUAACUGGGAGAAGUGGGGCUGUAACUUGGAGAGGUCGGGCUGUAGCUUGGGGAUGUUGGGCUGUAACUUGGGGAGGUUGGGCUAUAGCUUGGUGAAGUAGGUGAGUACGAUGGACUGGUAGGAGAAUAGGCAGGACUGGUUGGACUAUAACCAGGAGAACUUGGACUAUAAGUUGGUGAGGUAGGGCUAUAUCCAGGCGAGGUGGGACUGUAUCCAGGUGAAGUUGGGCUGUAUCCAGGUGACGUGGGACUGUAUCCAGGAGAUGACGGACUGUAGCCUGGUGAUGAUGGGCUGUAUCCAGGUGAUGAAGUAGGAGAGAAGGCCAUUCCACCAACAUAAGGAGAAAACUGGGCAUCCGUGACCGGGGACAGACGGAGAUUUGGGCUAAACAAGUAACCUGGAGACAUC
rnacentral:lncRNA from 1 species